GCCUCCUUCCAGUCUCUCUUCUCCAGAUAUGCAAGGAUGAUCUCAAACACUGCAACAUCAAAAAAGCCCAUCAGCUCUGUUACAGGGAGAACUCACCAUGAUUGACAGCUAACACUUUCCGACUGUUCAUUUUGACAAAGUUUCCAAGUGGGAGCUGUGCAUGACCAAUUCCCUGCUCUACAGCUUUUUUGUAAGUAAUUCCCUGGGGAAAAGACACCAAAACAAGUGGAUUGAAAAUCACCGUUUCAGAUCAGCCCAUACAGAUUUACUAUGAGUAUGGUUUUCUGGCAGGAGGGUCACCUGUGCUGCCAUGAUGUUGCUUCAGAAGUUGGUUACAAAAAGAAACUUACCCUGGUUCGACAGUACCUCAACGGCUACAACCGCGGGCAAACUCACUACUUUCUAUAUAUGUCACACUGUGACCUGUGGUCAAAAGGACUGUAAAUGAAACCUGUUGACACAGCUCAGCUCUAGAACCACCAGCCAUAGCCUGCUUUUAAACGCGAGCUUAUGUUAAAGUACAAAGUUAUUCAGGUUGUAGUCACAUGGUAUUUUUUCAGAGGAAGAGUAAAGGAUAAAAAAACUCUGGAACACUAGCCACUGCUACCACCACAAGCUUUUUUCACAUUUCUUCAACAUUUUUUGGAAUUCUUUUUUGAAGACGUUUUCUCAUUAUUAUUUAUGUUAGCUUACACAUGAACAGCAAUAAUAUCAAAUAAGGUGCCAAAAAAAAAAAAGAUGCAAAGAAACAGACCCACAGUUUACCUUGUGGUGAUUGUGAUCCACCAGUCCUCCAAUCACAUAGGCUUUCUUCUCAUCAAGCUCUCUGAGAACAUCUGGGGAAUCUGAGGUAAGAUAUACUAGGUCUUCUUUCUUUAUUAGCUCACUAUAGUGCUCUGUUCUAAUUUGGAUAUCCUCAAAAAAAGGUAGUUAAAAGAAGUUACAUUCAAUUGCUGACCAAGCUUUACAGACCCAAGAUGGGACUGGCAAAAAUAAAUCCAAUAGUAUGUGGUCAUUCCACAUUCCUCCUUCAUGUUCAAAUACACAGCACAGUGCAGAUUAAUUUUCUGCAUAAACAAUCCCAUCCCUAUAGCACUGACUUGUAAAAAUCAACAGGAAAUUUUCUGAAACCCCGAAAGAACUUUACAAAUCCUUAAGUUCUUGUGAUUCCCUUCAAAUGUUACCAUAUUUCUCCUACAGAUCCAAAUAAUUUUCAAGUCCACUAAAAAAAGUGAACCCAGAAGCAAAUGCUUAGUUAACAUUAAUUGUUCAGUAAGAGAGGUUUAUGCUAUGCUCUCAUGAAGCAGCUAUUGCACGAGAACUGCUGAAAACUGGACUGGUUUUAUUUAUUCUAAAUGCUCUUCCUUUGAAGUUGUUGGAAUAGUGGCUUAACAGGGAGUCACAAGGAAAACCAACAUGAGUUUGUCCAUAAGAGAAGCUACUUCUCUGAAGAACAUUUCAGUGCUGAGGCAACGUGAUGGAAGUGAAGGUGCACAUGAGAGAAUCACAUCGUGACUUGGAAGUCUUAUUCUGGACAAGAAAAAAAGAGCACUGUCAAGACAGACAACUGCUGGAACUGCCUAAAUCAAGGAGUCCUGCUUUGUUUAUCAAGCAUGGAAUUUGUUCAAUAAAGACAAGUGAAAAUA